AGCGAACGCUGGCGGCAUGCCUAACACAUGCAAGUCGCACGGGGGGGCUUCGGCCUCCCAGUGGCGGACGGGUGAGGAACGCGUAGGGACCUGUCGAGGGGUGGGGGAUAACCGCGGGAAACUGCGGCUAAUACCGCAUGACGCCGCGGCGUGACAGCCGGGGCCAAAGGCGAAAGCCGCCCGCCGAGGGGCCUGCGUCCGAUUAGCUGGUUGGCGGGGUAGCGGCCCACCAAGGCGUCGAUCGGUAGCUGGUCUGAGAGGGUGAUCAGCCACACCGGGACUGAGACACGGCCCGGACUCCUACGGGAGGCAGCAGUGGGGAAUAUUGGGCAAUGGGCGCAAGCCUGAUCCAGCAAUGCCGCGUGGGUGAAGAAGGUCUUCGGAUUGUAAAGCCCUUUCGGCGGGGACGAUGGUGACGGUACCCGCAGAAGAAGCCCCGGCUAACUUCGUG
rnacentral:rRNA from 1 species